UUUCAUGUCACUAACAAUUAUACGUAUACGUAUAUAUCGCAGUUGGUCUCGAGUUGUAUUUAUAACGAAUAAAUAUUAAUCUUACGAAAAAGUGUUUUUCUUUUUUCUUUUUGUUUCAAGAGUGUAAAAACGUUUCAAGAGUUAAAAAACGUUGAAAAGAAUUUUGCAUAAUUUUCCUUUACAAUUUCAUCAUUUCAUCAUUAUUCUUAUUUUACAUUUCUCUAACGUGCGAUAACUAGUUCGCGAUUGGUUCCCAGUCACUAAGAGUUAAAAAUAACCAUAUAUUUUUUAUGCGAAGGAAAAAAAAA